AGGACCUUCCCUCCGCUAAGGACACGGUGGAAUCCAGCUUGGCAUCUCGCGAGGUGCUGGCGAGGUUCCUCCGUGUCGCGGACAGCAACGGACUGCACUCUGGCCCUGGUCUCGAGACGAUUCGAGACCGGGCCAGGCAGGCGAAAAUCGCGGCGGGCGUUUUAAGUGGGAUAAUCCACCGACGGAAGAGGGCCCUGGGUGACACGGAUAACGAAGGUCUUACGCCUAACUGGUUCUCUCGCCUGGCCGAGAGAAAUGUUAUUUUUAUCACCAGGGUCUUCAGAUCUCGGCGGUGGGGGAGGUACAGGUACACGAUGAGUGUGUCCUCCCUCAUACUCUUGGUGUCCACGAUCACGCAAGUGUACCUGGACAGGCAAGGUAUGGGGGAUAUCGGCGACACCUCGACUUACCUGGAUUUCUACUGGCUCCUGUACGACAUACUUAAUGAGGUCAAAGAGUUUGCGGACUCGAAUUGCUAUUACCCCACCUAUUGGCCCGCCGCGUUGCUCGCCCCCGACCACUGCAAUCCCUACCGCCUGGUGGAGGAGACCCGCCGUGCCUUGGAAAACAGAGGUGGUGAAAUUCAGACAGAAUUUAGGUCAUUUACUAAAUCUGGGGAUUUGGUGUUGAGGAUAAAAAAUAUCGUGCUUGAGAGACCCUAAGAAAUGACCUCUUUGUUAGUGUCUUCCUAACAUUAUUUUUUAUCUGCGGCAACUAAGUCUCCUGGAAAGUGACGCCUGAAUUGUGUUUAAACUUCCUGCCUCGGGAUUUCCAAGGCUUGCGUGCGGUGUUGCCUCCACCAGGCGGAUGGGAUGAUGGGAUCCAAACCCGCUGCUGACUCCACAGAGUGGAAGGAACUGCCUGCACCUCCUUUGUUUCUGCGGUAACGUGCGGGGAGGAAAUUUAAGCCAUUGCUGCCAUCCGGGGUUGUGAGGACUGACCUGAAGGACCUUCCCUCCAUGAUGGUCACGGUGGAAUCCAUCCUGAUAACACAGAUGCUCCUCUCCAUGAUGACUUGGGCAACGAAAGCCACUGCCUCGCCACGGGAGUGAGAGGAACUGACCUGAACAUCGCCUUCCUGCUUGCUGUAGGGAAAGCCUCUGCUGCUGGCCCUGCUGGAGAAAGUCUACCGUCUACGUCAUUGUGCACCAGUACCCAAGACGGCCAGGCAGCUGGGAGCACAAGCCACCACACGAAGUCUGCACCCACGCGGUCAUUCUCCAAAAUGGCGCAUCGAGUCGGUUGUUCCCUGAAUCCCCUGCAAAGCCCUCUCUCUGUGAUGGCCACGGUGGAAUCUAACAUGAUGGCACAGCCGCUGGCGAGUGUUGGAGUCUGACUACUCUCUGGCCCUGAGCUCGAGACUUCAGAUGAAGCCAGACAACCGAAUAUCUCCCCUGCUCCUCCCCGCGGUGCUUGCCUUGCCUUGCCUUGCCGAGUGUACAAGGUUGUGCACAACUAUAGCGACGGAAUGGAUCACAUUAUACACUUGGGUGCCGAUGAACACUGCUAUUACCCGACAUACUGGCCCGUCUCGUUGCUCGCCCCUGACCACUGCAACCAACACUGCCUUCGAUAGAGCCUUUGCUGCCACCAGGUUAUAUUUUUUUACUAUUCUGGUAUCAAUUUUUAUCCUUCUCUUGCAUAUUAGAGCAUUAUUGUCCACAUGUGAAUGUUCUCAAUUUAAGUAUUCUAGUCCUUUCUCGCAAGUUAUUCAUGAUUUUUUCCGUUUCCCAGCUGUCUCGAUUUCAUUCCCCUUGUUGUCCACAGGAGUGGGCGAGUGGAACCUGGCCUGGACCUCCCCUUCAUGCUGUUCCUCCUGGAGAAAGUUUACCU